UACGAAGGGGGCGAGCGUUGUUCGGAAUUACUGGGCGUAAAGGGCGCGCAGGCGGCUCUGAAAGUCAGAUGUGAAAGCCCCGGGCUUAACCUGGGAACUGCAUUUGAUACUCUAGAGCUUGAGUACGGGAGAGGAGAGUGGAAUUCCCAGUGUAGAGGUGAAAUUCGGUAGAUAUUGGGAAGAACACCGGUGGCGAAGGCGGCUCUCUGGACCGUAACUGGACGCUGAGGCGCGAAAGCGUGGGGAGCAAACAGGG
rnacentral:rRNA from 1 species